rnacentral:rRNA from 1 species
CAGUCGCCACGGGAAUACAGAGGGUGCAAGCGUUAAUCGGAAUUACUGGGCGUAAAGCGCGCGUAGGUGGUUUGUUAAGUUGGAUGUGAAAGCCCCGGGCUCAACCUGGGAACUGCAUCCAAAACUGGCAAGCUAGAGUACGGUAGAGGGUGGUGGAAUUUCCUGUGUAGCGGUGAAAUGCGUAGAUAUAGGAAGGAACACCAGUGGCGAAGGCGACCACCUGGACUGAUACUGACACUGAGGUGCGAAAGCGUGGGGAGCAAACAGGAUUAGAUACCCCAGUAGUCCCUGUCUCUUAUAC